AUUGAACGCUGGCGGCAUGCCUUACACAUGCAAGUCGAACGGCAGCGCGGGAGCAAUCCUGGCGGCGAGUGGCGAACGGGUGAGUAAUAUAUCGGAACGUGCCCAGUAGCGGGGGAUAACGCAGCGAAAGUUGUGCUAAUACCGCAUACGCACUACGGUGGAAAGAGGGGGAUCGCAAGACCUCUCACUAUUGGAGCGGCCGAUAUCAGAUUAGCUUGUUGGCGGGGUAAAAGCCCACCAAGGCGACGAUCUGUAGCUGGUUUGAGAGAACGACCAGCCACACUGGGACUGAGACACGGCCCAGACUCCGACGGGAGGCAGCAGUGGGGAAUUUUGGACAAUGGGCGCAAGCCUGAUCCAGCCAUGCCGCGUGCGGGAAGAAGGCCUUCGGGUUGUAAACCGCUUUUGUUCGGGAAGAAAUUGACUGGGCUAAUACCCCGGUUAGAUGACGGUACCGGAAGAAUAAGCACCGGCUAACUACGUGCCAGCAGCCGCCGCGGUAA
rnacentral:rRNA from 1 species